GUACCAUAAUCAUCUUGCUAGAUAUGCCUCAUGCUGUCCUUUAUAUUACUUAUUUGCAAGGAAUUUAAGCAUUGACAAUUAUUUAUGAACGUUGAACCAUGAAAGAAUUGAAUUAUUUUUGUUCAGGGGUGGGUUUGCCCCUGUACAUUUAUUUCAAGAUCAGUGUUCUACAGCGUUUGUCAAAUUCAGGACUGGUGCUGGAAGCUGUAGGUGGAGGGAAGACCAGGAAUGGUGCAGCUCUGCAGAUGCUGAAGGGGACUGAGGCGACGCAGUCGGAGGUCCCUGCGGUGGCGGUCAGCGGGAGGUGUCAAGACCAACCAGCUCCUCGUCCAGGAAAGGGGAAUUCUUCAGACCGUUCUUCAAAGGUUCAAUAAAGUCACGAUGGAAGAGCAGAUGGCUGUGCAGUUGCCAUGGUGGAGAGACCCAGAGUAUGAUGACCGAACAGUUGAUCUACAACGAUGGCCUACUCCCCAUCCACCCUGAGGAUCCCUGGCUACACCUACAAUCCAAUCUACCCCAGACAUAACCACUCGGAGCUCAACAACUCCUACAACUCCUCCUGCCUCCUACACACCAUACUGUUACCACUUUACCAUUUUAACUUUAAAAAAAAGUACUGUAAUUCACACCAUGUUGUAGGAAAAGCAUGUUUAGCUCAAUGACUUAUACAUUCUAUUUCUGUGACCCCAACUAUUGUAUUUCUAACCCAGUUACCUCGUAACCCUCUUUCUAAGGGAGCGACUAAAGGGACAAAGCUGGAGCAAACCUGAGCUUAACAAUCUUUCUAAUCUUUCUUUCAAAUGUCCUAAAUUGAAACAUAUAAAAUGCCUAAAGUAACUUGUCUAACAAAACAAAAAGCCAACCUAAUACCCAAACUUAACCAUCUAACUAAAGAUCUCAAAUGCCUAAACUCUCUUACCUUAACCGAGUACCUAAACCGAACCAUUUAACUAAACAUCUCAAAGGCCUAAACUCGCUUACCUCAACCUAACCUAAUACCCAAACUUAACCAUCUAACUGAAGAGCUCAAACACCUAAACUCUUACCUUAACCUAGUACCUAAACUGAACCAUCUAACUAAACAUCUCAAAGGCCUAAACUCGCUUACCUCAACCUAACCUAAUACCCAAACUUGACCAUCUAACUUAAAAGCCCAAAUGCUUAAACUCUUACCCUAACCUGGUACCUAAACUUGACAAUCUAACUAAGCAUCUCUAAUAACUAAACUCUUUCCUAAUACCUAAACACUCUUUAAUACAAUCACUAAUGCCUAAACAUAAACAAACACCAAUAAUAAAAGUUAACCAUCCUUAAUCUUAAACCCAAACCAGACUUGUCCCUGGGUCGCUCCACUUUGUUUCUUUAAAGGCAUCUCUUUUCCCCUGCAUCUGUGUUUUAUUCCUUGAGGACUUCAGGUGGGGUGCCAUACAGUGUUGCAUGGGUUCUUGGGUCAAUUGUGGCACCCAUUGCACUCCUGACCAUCCCUGGAAGAAGGGAUCCCCUCCACUGCGUUUCUUCUCAAGAUUUCUUCCUUGCUGAUUCAAGGGAGUUUUUUCUUGCCCGUGUGGGGGCAUGGGUAAAGGGGGGUG